GAUGAACGCUGGCGGCGUGCCUAAUACAUGCAAGUCGAGCGAACAGAUGAGGCGCUUGCUCCUCUGACGUUAGCGGCGGACGGGUGAGUAACACGUGGAUAACCUACCUAUAAGACUGGGAUAACUUCGGGAAACCGGAGCUAAUACCGGAUAAUAUAUUGAACCGCAUGGUUCAAUAGUGAAAGACGGUUUUGCUGUCACUUAUAGAUGGAUCCGCGCCGCAUUAGCUAGUUGGUAAGGUAACGGCUUACCAAGGCAACGAUGCGUAGCCGACCUGAGAGGGUGAUCGGCCAAACUGGAACUGAGACACGGUCCAGACUCCUACGGGAGGCAGCAGUAGGGAAUCUUCCGCAAUGGGCGAAAGCCUGACGGAGCAACGCCGCGUGAGUGAUGAAGGUCUUCGGAUCGUAAAACUCUGUUAUUAGGGAAGAACAAAUGUGUAAGUAACUAUGCACGUCUUGACGGUACCUAAUCAGAAAGCCACGGCUAACUACGUG
rnacentral:rRNA from 1 species